rnacentral:rRNA from 1 species
UACGGGGGGGGCAAGCGUUGUUCGGAAUUACUGGGCGUAAAGGGCUCGUAGGCGGCCAACUAAGUCAGACGUGAAAUCCCUCGGCUUAACCGGGGAACUGCGUCUGAUACUGGAUGGCUCGAGUUUGGGAGAGGGAUGCGGAAUUCCAGGUGUAGCGGUGAAAUGCGCAGAUAUCAGGAGGAACACCGGUGGCGAAGGCGGGACUCUGGGCCGAUACUGACGCUGAGGAGCGAAAGCGUGGGGAGCAAACAGG